rnacentral:lncRNA from 1 species
UUUCUAACAACAUUUACUUAAAAACAAAAUUCUUGUAUUCUUCAUGUAGGGUCAGUAUUCAACUGCACAAAAAUAUGCAGCCAACUUAAGAACUAUAUAUAAGAUUAAGACACCUGGUAUUUCAUGGUAAAUGAUUAAAUUAACUAACACAGUUAUAUCCUGAACUUUGCCGUUAGGAAUGACAACUUUGUUCGAUGUGCAUUGAGGAUUGUGGGUAAUCUAAAUUGGUAUGAGCUUUUUCUCUUUGAAACUCAAACAAAAUUAAGGAACAGUAUUCUGCAAAUGGAAUAUGGAGUUUGAGAACUGCCACAAAAAAAUUCUCUUGUAGUAAGCUGAACUCCCCUAGGAGUACUCAGGAAUUAGAGAACUCAGGAAUUAGAGAAUUAGAGAACUGGAGAAAUGAGGGGGCGUGGAUAGUAGGGAGAGAAAAAUUGAUUAAUUGAUUUACUGUAUUUUUCAAAUAGAAAUAGCUGGGAAAAUAAGACAAAACAAGCGGAGUUGUUUCUUUUUCACAGUGAAGCCCCAGAGGGGUGCAAGCUUUGUUGUCCCUGGGUAGCAAGCCUAUUUCCACAUUUCCGACUGCAUAUUCCAUAUUUAUGCUGAUUUUUGGUCUCUCUGUUCCUGGCUUGCUAGGUGGCAAGGGCAGUUAGAGAAAAAAGGCAGAUUUAUGAAACAGAAAAAUUUCUCACUGAAAUCAGGCUUGGAUUUGUGAAUCACUUUUUUUUCCCCCUGUGGUCACUCCUGUGAUGAGGUCAACUGCUUCAAUCCUUUAGGUUUUGUAGACGGGUUUCUGGAUUCCAGGAGUCCCAGAAGGUCCAGGGAGCGCUCCCCACAUUUUAGCCAGAAGUAAUUAACUAAAACAUAAAGGCCUCACUUUCUCUUUUCACACUUUGAGCCACAGAUCAUCUAAUUCCUAGCUUGAGACAUCAGAUUUCAGAUCAUUAGUGCAAAGCAUCUUCCACAGGAGGCAAUAAAAUGUCACUUUAUAUAACUCAGCUACAGUUACACUGCCUUCAGAAAGCAGGAAUCUCCCUGAAAAGAAAUUUACAUGAAAACAGUCCCAUUGUUUGAGAAUUUAUGCAAAUGUUGAACAAAGGGGUUUGAUAGUGAUUUUAAAAACUUAAAUCUUUAUUACUGCCUCAAAGAUAUCCUGAGAAACUUGGUUACUUCUAAAGGAUUCCAUUGCACUUAUUUUUUAAAAUGCCUAUAAUAUAGAGUUGUUUUAAAAAUUUUCCCUAAACUCUAAACUUCUUCCUCAGCUUCAAAGCCUUCUAUAAUGAAUAUCCUACAGAGAGCCUAGUGCAUAUUGGUUUAACACUUACUAGGAUCACUCAUUACUGGUUAAGAAAAUUGAAGAUAACAACCAUAGUGCCAAGUAUUUUGAACAACAUAAAAUGUUUCUCCCGUGGGUGUAGCUCUUAGGGACCACAUGGGGAUACAUACCCCUCAGUGCUCAAUCAGCACAAGAUGAAGCUUAAGUGUCUCAGUCCAUGUUGAUUGCCUCUGAACUCCCCGGUGUUAGGAAUCUGGAUGUGUCCAUUACUGCAUGUUCAAGCAAUGAACUGCCUGCACCAGGAAUCUGAUUUCUGUAGAAAGACAUUAAGGGGCUGGGUGAGGAAUAGGGUGUCAACCAAACGUUGUGAUAUUUUCCUUUGAUUUUCACUUUCUUUAAAUUCUUUUCCAUUUGCUACCUAGCAACUGUCUGGCAUUGGUACCCUCAUUUUCUUUUCUUCUGCUUUUCCUCCUAAUUCAGUGUGGAAGAUGAUCAAAGUAUGACAUUUCUUCUACCCUAGAGGUUGGCAUUUCUGCAGGCACAAAUGAGCUUGGUUUUCAAGCACCAGUCUUUGAACACAAGGAAUUCUUUUAAUGAUCACGCCGGACUAUAUAGACUUUGGAAUCAGACUCUUUGAAUUCCAGCUCUGCCAUUUACCAACUUUGACACUUUGGACAGGGUCUCAUUCUGUCACCCAGGCUGGAGUGCAGUGGCACGAUUAUAGCUCACUGCAACCUCAAACACCUGGGCUCAAGCAAUCCUUCCACCUCUGCCUCCUGAGUAAUUGGGACUACAGGCGUGUGCCACCACGCCCAGCUAAUUUUUAAUUUUUAAUUUUUUUGUAGAGAUGGAGGUCUUGCUAUGUCACCCAGGCUGGUCUUGAACACCUGGCCUCAAGUGAUCCUCUGGCUUCGGUCUCUCAAAGCUCUGGGAUUACAGACAUGAGCCACUGCACCCGGCUCUGUCUCCCCUUCCUAUGUGUGUUAGCUCUAGAACAAGAGAAGCCUUGUUGAGAUUCAUGGCUGCCCACCCCCCAUCACCUCUCUGACUUUGGGCAAGUUGCCUGGCCUCUCUCAGCCUUUAUUUUCUUUUUGUGAAAUGGGAAUAAUAAUAGUACUUGCCUCACAGGCAAAAUGUUGUGAGAACUAAACGAGAAAAUGCACAUAAAGCACUUGGCACUUAGUUCUUUUUAUGAUUAUAAUGAUAAUCAGACACAAUAAAUUAUUUCUCACAUC